rnacentral:rRNA from 1 species
GACGAACGCUGGCGGCGUGCUUAACACAUGCAAGUCGAGCGGAGCGGCGAACGGGUGAGUAACGCGUGAGUAACUGCCCCCCUCUCUGGGAUAACAGUUGGAAACGGCUGCUAAUACCGGAUAGUGGGGGAUGAAUCGCGUCCGAUCAGCUUGUUGGUGGGGUAGUGGCCUACCAAGGCGACGACGGGUAGGCGGCCUGAGAUGGCGACCGGCCAAAUUGGGCUGGUGUACGGCCCAAACUACUACGGGAGGCAGCAGUGUGGGAUAUUGCACAAUGGGGGAAACGCUGAUGCAGCAACGCGCGGUUGGGAUGACUGCCUUCGGGUUGUAAACCGCUUUCAGCCAUGACGCGGUAGUGGCAGAAGAAGCACCGGCUAACUACGUGCCAGCAGCCGCGGUAAUUC